GCCAUGCGCCGCUGCCAUUUGCCACUAAUCGCCACUAAGGAUUGGCUGAAAUUCACCGUAGAGCACUUCGUGCCCUUAUAUCCGAGACAGAUUUGGUGGAAUCGCACCGAAGGGAGCAGCAGAACAACAAAACACGCGUCAAGUUGCCGCACAGCACCAGCCUUUCAUCUGCCUUUUUUUUUUCUUUUUCUUCCUCUCCUCUCUCGGUU
rnacentral:lncRNA from 1 species